UACGUAGGGGGCAAGCGUUGUCCGGAAUCAUUGGGCGUAAAGCGCGUGUAGGCGGCUUCGUAAGUCCGUUGUGAAAGUCCAGGGCUCAACCCUGGAAUGCCGAUGGAUACUGCGGAGCUAGAGUCCGGAAGAGGCGAGUGGAAUUCCUGGUGUAGCGGUGAAAUGCGCAGAUAUCAGGAGGAACACCAAUGGCGAAGGCAGCUCGCUGGGACGGUACUGACGCUGAGGCACGAAAGCCAGGGGAGCAAACGGG
rnacentral:rRNA from 1 species